rnacentral:sRNA from 1 species
UUUAAAUUAUUAUUUAAUUUCUUCAAAAGUUGGCUCCUGACCCAGAUGGACAGGUGAAUUCUUUAGCCCUUUAAGGAAUUUUUCCAUGUUACAUAAACCUUUUCAGAGUCUUGAAAAAGAUGGAAAACUUCCAGAUCAUUUUGUCAAACUCACAAAACUCUGACAUCAACCUGACAAAGAUAGCACUAAAAGGGGGAAGAAAACUAAACCAAUUCCCAGUUAAUGUAAGUGGUGCCUAUUUUAAAUUUUAUUUAAAAUUGUUUCUCUCCUUUAUUAAUAUUAGUUUAUGCUGGUCUAAGUCAAUAUCUCAGACUAAGGACUUUUUUUGUGAUGGGUCUAGAGAAAGACUGGCUGAGGAGGUGACUCCUAUCUGUUGAGAACACCUGUAUUUUGGUAAGUCCUUAACUUGUGUGAGACUAACAAAUAUGCAGAAAUAUAACUGUUUCAGGGUGGAGAUAGGAAAACUAGAUUUGCUCACGUAGUAUGCUUUUCUUAGAAAUCUGAAAUAUUCUUACCUGAAAGUAAUAGGGGAGAAAGAAAACUAUACAGAAGGCUUCCUUGCCUUCAGUGUCAUACCCCAGUUUUUAAAAGCUCUCUUGUUUUCAGGAAACUUUAGAUCCAAUUGAUGAGGUCGCUGCACUCAUUGCAGCCACCAUUCAUGAUGUGGAUCACCCUGGGAGAACCAACUCCUUCCUGUGUAAUGCUGGAAGUGAGCUGGCCAUUUUGUACAAUGACACUGCUGUGCUGGAGAGCCACCAUGCGGCCUUGGCCUUCCAGCUGACCACUGGAGAUGAUAAAUGCAAUAUAUUUAAAAACAUGGAGAGGAAUGAUUAUCGGACACUGCGCCAGGGGAUUAUCGACAUGGUCUUAGCCACAGAAAUGACAAAGCACUUUGAGCAUGUCAACAAAUUUGUCAACAGCAUCAACAAACCUUUGGCAACACUAGAAGAAAAUGGGGAAACUGAUAAAAAUCAGGAAGUGAUAAACACUAUGCUUAGGACUCCAGAGAACCGGACCCUCAUCAAACGAAUGCUGAUUAAAUGUGCUGAUGUGUCCAAUCCCUGCCGACCCCUGCAGUACUGCAUCGAGUGGGCUGCACGCAUUUCAGAAGAAUAUUUUUCUCAGACUGAUGAAGAGAAGCAGCAGGACUUACCUGUGGUGAUGCCAGUGUUUGACAGAAAUACCUGCAGCAUCCCCAAAUCCCAAAUCUCUUUCAUUGAUUACUUCAUCACAGACAUGUUUGAUGCUUGGGAUGCCUUUGUAGACCUGCCUGAUUUAAUGCAGCAUCUUGACAACAACUUUAAAUACUGGAAAGGACUGGACGAAAUGAAGCUGCGGAGCCUCCGACCACCUCCUGAAUAGUGGGAGACACCACCCAGAGCCCUGAAGCUUUGUUCCUUCGGUCAUUUGGAAUUCCUGAGGGCAGCCAGAGUUCCUUGGUCCUUUCAGUAUUAGGCAGAACAGCCCCCGAUCUGCAUAGCCUGUGAAAGCCCACGGGGACAUCAGUAACCUUCUGCAGCCACCAUCCAAUGCCAUUACUGUCAAGUGAGACUUGGCCACUGUAGCCUGGGCCUGCUGCAGGAGCUCUUCAGAAAGGCACAUGAAGACCACGGUUUGCAUCAGUUUCUGGUAAAACACAAGGUCUGGAGUGCCCCUGCAAAGGGUAUUGAUGGACUUCCUGCCAGUGACAGAGCAUGUCUGUUGCAAACAAUUCUCUCAGUUACGUUCAGCACUUAAGAAUGGCUAAUGGCAAUAGGAUCUUUAGCAACUUUUUCACAUCAUAGAAGGUGCAAUCACUCACUUGGGAACACUACUGAGAGUGACUUCUCUUUUAAAAUUGAGUAGCAAAUGAAAAAUUAAAAUUUGAACUUGAUUAUUAAUAUCAAUUAAAAUGUUUUAUUUAUUUUAUUAAAAGCUCAAUAUUUUCUGUGAAUUCAAAAAUACUUCAGAGCCAAAGCCAACUUCAAGUACCGUGACCAAAUUUACAUGAUUCAUAUUCAUUAUGCAUUACUUGGUAUACAGACUUAUUUUCAUAAUGCAAAUUAAUAAAAUGACAUUUUUACUGCACUAUAGAAAUAUUCAUGUAUGUUAAACUUUUCUGAUUGAGGCUAAUUGGAAAAAGCUGGGGUCUUAUUCUAAGUGCUAAAGAAGGCUGCUUCCACUGUAUAGAACCCAGGGCUCUGAAACAGCUCUAGCCGCCUAAUGAACUUCACAGGUAACUCCCCAAGGUAAAAUUAGACUCUCUUCUUGGUUUGCAAAGAAAAGUUAGGACUUAACACUUUUUUCUAAAAUUUUAUAAUUCAGUUUCCAAAAGUCUACUCUAUUUUAUACUGUUUCUACAAAAUAUUCCUUAUAAAAACAAAGAACAAAAAUUGAAUAUUUAAUGAAUUGACAUUUUAUAACCAACCUGUUUUUAUCUACAGUGGGAAUCUUUGAUGCCAGAAAUUUAUAAAGAGGUUCUGUAUCUUCACACCUUGAAUAAGCAUAAUACUAUAAAAAAUGACACUUGACAUGUCAAUGUAUUUGUCAUUUCAUUUUAAACUCGUAUUUGUGGUUUUUUUCCCAGAUAAAAAUGAAAUUAAACCAUUUCUUUUUAAGAAA